rnacentral:rRNA from 1 species
GAAAGAUUCAUCGGAAGAGGAUGGGCAUGCGGCGCAUUAGCUGGACGGCGGGGUAACGGCCCACCGUGGCGACGAUGCGUAGGGGUUCUGAGAGGAAGGUCCCCCACACUGGUACUGAGACACGGACCAGACUCCUACGGGAGGCAGCAGUGAGGAAUAUUGGUCAAUGGGAGAGAUCCUGAACCAGCCAAGCCGCGUGAGGGAAGACGGCCCUAUGGGUUGUAAACCUCUUUUGUCGGAGAACAAAACCCGGGACGAGUCCCGGACUGCGUGUAUCCGAAGAAAAAGCAUCGGCUAACUCCGUGCCAGCAGCCGCGGUAAUACGGAGGAUGCGAGCGUUAUCCGGAUUUAUUGGGUUUAAAGGGUGCGUAGGCGGUCCGUUAAGUCAGCGGUAAAAUUGCGGGGCUCAACCCCGUCGAGCCGUUGAAACUGGCAGACUUGAGUUGGCGAGAAGUACGCGGAAUGCGCGGUGUAGCGGUGAAAUGCAUAGAUAUCGCGCAGAACUCCGAUUGCGAAGGCAGCGUACCGGCGCCACACUGACGCUGAGGCACGAAAGCGUGGGGAUCGAACAGGAUUAGAUACCCUGGUAGUCCACGCAGUAAACGAUGAAUGCUGGUUGUCCGGGUCGAAUGAGAUCUGG